CGACGUGAGCAAUCUGCCUUUAAGAGGGGGAUAACAGUCGGAAACGGCUGCUAAUACCGCAUAAAGCAUCAAAUUCGCAUGUUUUUUGAUGCCAAAGGAGCAAUCCGCUUUUAGAUGAGCUCGCGUCUGAUUAGCUGGUUGGCGGGGUAACGGCCCACCAAGGCGACGAUCAGUAGCCGGACUGAGAGGUUGAACGGCCACAUUGGGACUGAGACACGGCCCAG
rnacentral:rRNA from 1 species